rnacentral:tRNA from 2 species
GGGCGCAUAGCUCAGUGGUAGAGCACUCGCCUUACAAGCGAGGAGUCGCAAGUUCGAUCCUUGCUGCGCCCACC